rnacentral:rRNA from 1 species
CGCGUAGGCGGCGCGGUAAGUCUUCUGUGGAACCUCUGGGCUUAACUCAGAGCCUGCAGAGGAAACUGCCGUGCUGGAGUGUGGGAGAGGCGAGUGGAAUUCCCGGUGUAGCGGUGAAAUGCGUAGAUAUCGGGGGGAACACCAGUGGCGAAGGCGGCUCGCUGGACCACAACUGACGCUGAGGCGCGAAAGCUAGGGGAGCAAACAGGAUUAGAUACCCUGGUAGUCCUAGCCUUAAACGAUGAAUGCUUGGUGUGAUCGGUAUCCAAUCCGAUUGUGCCGCAGCUAACGCGAUAAGCAUUCCGCCUGGGGAGUACGGUCGCAAGGCUGAA